UGCAUACAUGUAAUUUAAUCUAUUGAGUAU
rnacentral:piRNA from 1 species